CUGGGUUAUGUUGAUAGGAGGUCUUUGCCCAUUGUCAUAGCUACUGCUUCUUGUGGAGUGUAGACCUGCCCUUAGUCUUUGCCUCUUUCCUGCUCUUCCCUUUUCAGACUCAAAAUGAAGCUGUGCUGGUGGUGGUCGUUUUAGGACUAAUCCCUGGAGGCUGCACAAGGUCUAAAUAUCUUUUUUAGCAGACUCCUUUCUUCAUCCACCGUUACAUCUCAUUUGUUGCGUGAGCUGACAACUGGAUACCAAAUCUGCAAAAAGGCAUGCAGCCAGGGUAAAGAUUUUGGAAAGCACAAUUAUAAAGUCCAGGACAAAAUAGCAAUGAACAUCUGCGAUAAGAGACAGUAGACAAAAAAGGACUGAGGUACAGAUCAGCACAUUGCUAUGUGGGUGUUUUGCAGCAUAAUCAAUAUUAUGUAAUGUCUGCAGGAAGGACUGUAUCACCUGAGACUCUGGGAAGGUGCCUACGUAAAGCCUGUCUUCACCUGGUGUACUUUCACUGCCACAGAAACAGAAAGUGAAAACCAAAUAAUUUAAAAAAAUAGAAAGAGGUCUCUCUACUCUGAGGGCUUAUUUCAAAAGUCUGAAAUUAAAACCACAACAACAUGGGAAAUCUGGUGAGCACAGGGAGAAGUUGAACUCCUCCUGUUUUAAGUGGGUGCAUUUGGAAAGAAAUUGUUUGGAAAACUGCAUAGGUAAUCUCUAACUAGAAUUAGAUGAAAAAGCCAUAUCAUGGAAAGAAAUGUGCAAGUUAUUUUAUGAAAACUGAGGAAAUUAUCUAAAAAACUUGGAGAAGCAUCAACUACCAUUGACCAAUAAACAGUACUGUAUAUGAAAGAGACUAGGAUGU
rnacentral:lncRNA from 1 species